UGGAGAGGCACCCAGCUCCCCUCGGCUUCAGGGGCAGGCGCCCCAAGAAGAUGCUUUCUUGCGACUCUUUUCGGGCCUCAGCUGCCCUCGGCUGGACGCCGUCUCCGAGGGGCCUUCGGUGCACACCCUCCGAGACGUUUUGAGCGGCGGCGUGUAGACAUUUACAUAUAUCUGCAUGUCAUUAGCAUAGAGGCGGGGCCGGAACUUGUUCGGGCAACUAUCCCUGGACGGUUCCCUUUGCUUCUCUCUCAUCCCGCCUGAGGGGCACAUGGGCCGCGCAUGCGAACUUCCAGCCCCUCUAGUGGGACUCGGCACUACUGGGCCUCACCCAGGCAGAGGGAGAGAAAUGAGAACAAUCUCUAAAGAAAUGGACCUGGAGGGACGCCUGCGUGGCUCAGCAGUUGAGUGACUGCCUUUGGCCCAGGUGUGAUCCUAGAGUCCCAGGAUCGAGUCCCACAUCGAGGUCUCUGCAGGGAGCCCGCUUCUCUCUCUGCCUGUCUCUGCCUUUCUCUCUCUCUCUCUGUCUCUCAUGAAUACAUAAAUAAAAUCUUAAAAAGAAAAUAAAGAAAUGGACUU
rnacentral:lncRNA from 1 species